AUUGAACGCUGGCGGCAGGCCUAACACAUGCAAGUCGAACGAGUGGCGGACGGGUGAGUAAUGUCUGGGAAACUGCCUGAUGGAGGGGGAUAACUACUGGAAACGGUAGCUAAUACCGCAUACCAUCAGAUGUGCCCAGAUGGGAUUAGCUAGUUGGUGGGGUAACGGCUCACCAAGGCGACGAUCCCUAGCGGGUCUGAGAGGAUGACAGGCCACACUGGAACUGUGACAGGGUCCAGACUCCGACGGGAGGCAGCAUGGGGGAAUAUUGGACAAUGGGCGAAAGCCGUAUACAGCCAGGCCGCGGGGAGGAAGAAGGCCUUCGGGUUGUAAAGUACGUUCAGCGGGGAGGCGUUACCCGCAGAAGAAGCACCGGCUAACUCCGUGCCAGCAGCCGCGGUAAUUC
rnacentral:rRNA from 1 species